rnacentral:lncRNA from 1 species
AUUCAGGGGCCACAGCCUACCAGAAACUUUUUGCAGUCUUGAGGACUGUAASACACCAUUAACUGGGCUUCUCGAUUUGAAAAUAAAUAUUCAAGCAAACAAGACGAUUUUAUUUAAUGAAAAACAUCCACAGUGCGGGAACACAAUAACUUUUUAAUGAAGGUCUGAAUAAAGCAGCAUGCAACAAUGUAUUUCACGGGCUGCCAUGGUGGCAACCUUGUAAGACUCAAGCUCCCUGCGACUUCUGGCACUGCGUGCAAGCAUGCAAUUUCAGCGCUGAGUGCAUUGGCAAAAUGAACAACCCUCCCCAGAGGAAGGCACCCCAUAACCCAGAUGUUCCCUACUUUAAAAUAACGGCAUAGUAAGUAAUAGAAAAGUAGAGUUUAACCCUUGCCUCCCUAAAGCGCUUAGCAUAAGGAGGAAAGCAGGGGCCUGGGGGGAGGAGAGGAGCCGGCUGCGCGGGCAGAGCAGCCGUGCCCGCAGCCUGCCCUCUCCACGGGGAGAGCCCGGCGGAGGGCGAAGGACCCCCCCGCCGCCGCCGCCUCCUCCUCCCCCCCGGCGGAGGGAGGCGAGCCGCGGCGCACGUCUCCGUGUGCGGGGCGCGCAGGGAGGCGCGGGCAGGAAGUCAAACCCCAAACUGGGCAAAAUUUGGGCAAUGCUACGUUUUCUCCCGACGCUUUUCGCCGGUGCCGUGCGCUCCUUAGAGAUGGUAGCAUAAAGCCGGGACCKAUUCCCGCGGCCUCCUUCGGAUGAGGAGGACAUGAGGUUGACUGUGGAGUCGGUGAUAAAGGCAGUUACCUUUCUGCAAUCG